rnacentral:rRNA from 1 species
CAAGACUCCUACGGGAGGCAGCAGUGAGGAAUAUUGGUCAAUGGGCGCGAGCCUGAACCAGCCAAGUCGCGUGAGGGAAGACGGUCCUAUGGAUUGUAAACCUCUUUUGUCGGGGAGCAAAAGACGCCACGUGUGGCGUUCCGAGAGUACCCGAAGAAAAAGCAUCGGCUAACUCCGUGCCAGCAGCCGCGGUAAUACGGAGGAUGCGAGCGUUAUCCGGAUUUAUUGGGUUUAAAGGGUGCGCAGGCGGAAUGUCAAGUCAGCGGUAAAAUUUCGGGGCUCAACCCCGUCGUGCCGUUGAAACUGGCGUUCUUGAGUGAGCGAGAAGUAUGCGGAAUGCGUGGUGUAGCGGUGAAAUGCAUAGAUAUCACGCAGAACCCCGAUUGCGAAGGCAGCCUUCCGGCGCCCUACUGACGCUGAGGCACGAAAGUGCGGGGAUCGAACAGGAUUAGAUACCCCUGUA